rnacentral:tRNA from 1 species
AUCUGAAUAACUCAGUGGUAAGAGUAGUCGCCGGGCAAGCAAAAGGCUCGGGUUCAAUUCCCGAUUCAGCGA